CUUAAACUGAACUUCCUGAUUCUGUCAUGGCAAAUUUACAGACCAGGAUUCUUCAUCUGGAUCUCUGUGUCGUUAGUAUUCUCCUGAUUCAAGCAGAUUAUUCCAGAUCUAAUAAAGAGCAAAAGAUUCAGCAGCACAUCAACAAAACAGUGUUUGUGGGGGAAACAGUUACACUCCACUGCAACAAAACCCAGUUUGAUGAUGAUUUAAUUUGGAAAAUGAACAACUCUGUUAUUUUUAGUCAUAACUCUAACAGUAACAGAACAAUGAGAAACUUGAGCUCAAACAGGAUUCACAUCGCCCCCGCAGCUCCAAGAGAAUUAACAAUAGAUCAAAUACAAGCGUCUGAUGCAGGAAACUAGCUAGCUGUUACCCAGCAGCAAUGAGAUGGACAUUAACAGUAACAGAAAACCAGAUCAGACCAGAAUUAUUCAAACAAAUGCCGCUGUACAUCAUCAUCAUCAUCAUCAUCUAUUGUUCUGGAGUCAUUAUGAUCUGUCUGUUCAUCAGCAUCAGCAUCUGCAUUCACAGGUAA